AAGCCCUGUGGUGACUAACACACUGAAUUGCAAAUUCAGAGAAGCAGCUUCAAUCCUGCCGGGGCUUC
rnacentral:tRNA from 1 species